rnacentral:tRNA from 1 species
AGCAGUGUGGCUCAGUGGAAAGAGCACGGGCUUGGGAGUCAGAGAUCAUGGGUUCGAAUCCCGCCUCUGCCA